AGUUUUCCACUAGCAGCCUUUGGAUGAAGACAUGGAACUCUCAGCUCUGCCUGUGCCAUGCCUGCCUGGAUACUGCCAUGCUCUUACCUUGAUGAUAAUGGACUGAACCUCUGAGACUAGGGAACACCACCACCCAAGGUAUGGGAGACAGCCCAGAGGGAACACUGACAGACAGAAGGCUGUGUCCAUCUGUCUUUGUGUCCCUCCAAAGAUCCACUCUGAGGACUGCCUACCUUCAAGCAGAGAACCAAAGCCACCAGCAACCCCCAACCCCCCACCCCCACCCACCCCCGGUCAACAAUGGGGAAUGCUUUAUCCAAAAGGCAAACGCUGCGAAAGAGAAGUAGAACUAUCUAGCAAGAAAUGACAGAUGGGUCUAGACACAUAAGGUAAAGGACAGACUCGGCUCUGGUGACUCUCUGAAUAUUCAUAGAAUCUAUAAAAGUCCAAUUCUUUCAGAACGCAGUCUGUUAGGAAUGAAUAUGCAACUGUACCAAAUAAAAACACUGGAUUUCUCCAAAAGUACACAAGGAGGGAAUUUUCCCACCUCCAAGUGCUGUCACACAUCGCUGCUGGAUAAAGGAUUAUCUGAAGUUCAUAUUGACUUGUGAUUUAUACUCUCUAACUCAGGGCUCAAGGAUUUCUCCCCUCCCUUCAAAUGGAUUCCCUCUCGA
rnacentral:lncRNA from 1 species